UGACAGUUCAACUUUGUUGUCAAUUUUACAAAAUUUGAAAGUAGGGACCUGAACAAAAGCCACCUCUUUUGGCUUCUAUUUGGGUUCUGAAAAGAAGAUAGAAAGCUGUAAAUCGAUAACCUAGAAGGGAGGGGAGAAGAGAGAGGGUUCAAAAGGGAGACUAGUGUAGCCGCCGCCCUACUCUUCUUCCUUCUAAUCUCCGCCGCCUCAUAUCGACCCCCAACCGCCUCAGACCUCCUCUAAUGGAGGUCCAUGCUCAGGCCAAGCGAGGCUUCUCUGUCAAAGAAGACGAAGUAGCUUCACCUGCUGAUCUGAGCUUUGAGGCACCUCUCAAAAUUGUGGAAUACCCAGACCCUAUACUAAGAACCAAGAAUAGGCGAAUUGAUACAUUUGAUGAUAAUUUGAAGAAAUUAGUUGAUGAGAUGUUCGAUGUAAUGUACAAGUUAGCAAUCGAAGAUUACACAGAUGGUUAAAUGAUCACCUAUUGAUGGAACUUGUUCCUCGUUUGAAUGCAGAAGAGAUUAGAGGCUUAUUUGCUCCACCACCUUGGGGUGAGACUGCUUCAUUAGCCUUUUAAUUAUGUGAAAAUGGAAACAGGCCAAUCUCAUAGAUCAGUGUUGAUCAUGGCAGAGGUGAAAAACUUCAGGGUCGAUGAGCUGAUGGAGUUUUACAAAUCAGAUUUGAAACUGAAGAAGUUCCUGCACAUAAUUGAGAAUUCACAAGUGUAUCCUGUUUUGUAUGAUCACAACAGGUCACUGGUUUGUUAAAUAAAAUGCAAUUGCAUGCCAAGAAGUCUGACUCAGCAGAAAAUAGUUUUCAAUAUUGGAGCCAAACACAUCCUUAGUUUUUCAAAGAAAGGGAAAACAACUAUUGUGAAGAGGCAUCUCACUGGUGAAUUUGAGAAGAAUGUGCAGAUAACCGGCCCAAGCUAAUUGCUGGGUCACUUGUGGAUGGGAAGCCAAGAGAAGCUAGGAUGAAUCACCCAAAAGGGAUUACUGUCAAUCAACCACAAAAAUAUCUAUAUUGCUUACACUCUGAAUAUGGCCAUCAGGAAGAUCAGUGAUGCAGGGAUAAUAGUACUUGUUACAGCCGGGUUCUUUGGUUACAAAACACCAUAAACCAAGGAAAGUAACUCUGUAUUGGAUGCAUUAUACAUGUGGGAUUCUUGGUUUCUCGGUCUGUUCAAUUUGGGUCUUGAAGCAUAGUAGAUUGAUGGGAAGCUCUGACAUUAACAACUAGAUUCGUGAGGUAAAGGACUCGACUAUUAGCUUUUGGAAUGACCAUGUAGAGCGACUGGUAUAAACUUUUUGGAUAGUCUAAAUUUUUUGUAUAUUUUAAAACUUAAGGAUAUAGUUUUCGAAUGUUUUGAAUGUAUAGACAAUUGUUGAAUGUUUAUAAUUUAUGGA